AACGAACGCUGGCGGCAUGCCUAACACAUGCAAGUCGAACGAGACCUUCGGGUCUAGUGGCGCACGGGUGCGUAACGCGUGGGAACCUGCCCUUAGGUUCGGAAUAACUCCCCGAAAGGGGUGCUAAUACCGGAUAAUGUCUUCGGACCAAAGAUUUAUCGCCUUUGGAUGGGCCCGCGUUGGAUUAGCUAGUUGGUAGGGUAAAAGCCUACCAAGGCGACGAUCCAUAGCUGGUCUGAGAGGAUGAUCAGCCACACUGGGACUGAGACACGGCCCAGACUCCUACGGGAGGCAGCAGUGGGGAAUAUUGGACAAGGGGCGAAAGCCUGAUCCAGCAAUGCCGCGUGAGUGAUGAAGGCCUUAGGGUUGUAAAGCUCUUUUACCCGGGAUGAUAAUGACAGUACCGAGAGAAUAAGCUCCGGCUAACUCCG
rnacentral:rRNA from 1 species